rnacentral:misc_RNA from 1 species
GUCGUCGGUGGUGACGGCGGCAGAGGGGCCGUUCUCGGAGGAGCUGAUGGUGACGACCACCUUGGUGGCGGGGCCGAUGGCCUUGGCGAUGGACUCUGGGUCGCUGAAUGUGGAUUCGACUGCGUUUAAGCGCUUUGAUUCUUCUGGAGAGAUUAUCCUGUACGCCGCCGCCAGUUGUGCCAGCUCCUGUGCCGCCGCCAGAUCCGGCACUCCAGCCCUGACAGAAAACCCUUGCCGCAGCAGCGUCUGCGCAAUGCGGAUCCCCGCCUGCCCCGUCGCACCAGCCACAAACACCGUCCGCGGCUCCUUCCUCCUCGGAAUCACAAAGAAGCCAUUUUCCGGCACCCGCACCACCGGUAUCAGCGACUUCGGGUCCGGCAGCCUCCCGAAG